GCAAGGCCGAGAGGGACCCCAACAAGCCAAAGCGUCUCCCCACCUCCCUGAGCUCCUUCAUAGUCUUCAUAUGUGCCUUCCAAGCAUGGGAGAUAUAAUUGCAAACUGAUCUCAAAUCUAGUGGAGGAAGUGCACCGGUGGUACUUUAAGGCAGAUGGACAGACGACGGACUGCUGGUGUGGCGUUUUACCUCACUAACACUGUUGAGUUUGUCCCGGAUGAGCCAUGUCCAACUCCGAAGGCAAGCAACCCUAUAAUUUUUAAAUUCCUUAAAGUUCUUGUUUGAUUUCCAGCCGGCUGAACACAUGAUGAGCUAUAGUAAUUUAUUUUGAUCAGUAGUGAUAAAUAAAGAACAAAACUGUAAUGUACAUGCCUAUCCAUGAGACUUCUCUACAUCGUAUUAUGUGUUCUAGGUAGCAGAGGAAAUCCACCUGUGUUGGUCUGCAUCGUCAUUAGCAGCAACAUGGGGGGAUGCUACAUCAAUAGUUCGAACACUGGCAAACCAGUUCACUGUGAUGUAAAUUUCGUUUUCUAUGUGAAUUUCUUUCUUGCAGAAUACAUCUGAAGCUUAAUUUUCAUAUUUUUGUCCUUUUCAUCCCAUGCUUGCCAACGGAAUUAGUUGUUUUUUCAUGUAGAGGAUUUUUCAUAGGAACAUCAUAGUAGGAACCACUUCUUCUGCUUUAACAUCACAAGAAAAAUAUCUGAAGUAUUUUGCAUGCCCUAUACUAAACAACCAUUGAGGCCAAUUCAGUGGCAAGAUUUUUAAGCACUUACUGUGUGAUAUAACACCACAUUUCUCCGCCUUUUCUCUUUUGGUACGAUCUGGCAGUUCAUGUGAUUUGUUUGUCUUCCUUCCAUGAUUCUCCAAAGUCUUGAAGCUAGCGGUUAGACAUUAAGGAAAACUAGAGAUGCCAUAGAGAACGGAAGAGAAUUCGCUGUUAGUUGAUUGAUUAUAAAUAGAGGGAGCUGAUGAGAUGCCGGUUCACGUUCGGGUUGUCACGCAGCUGUUGCUGGAGUGUUCGUCCUAUUUUUUAUAAACUAUGAUAUUUCCAGAGGGGCUGAUAGUGAUGCUCGAGUAGUCUUCAAACUGGGGUUUCAGGAGCUGUUCAACGAGCAAUGCUGAGUUUCUGAUCAGCAGAAAUAGCACUAGCGGUGUAUCAGUAUCAUAGGCUGCAGAUAGCAGCGACAAGAUGUCUAUUGUUGAGCUGGAGUAUUAUGAACUGUACUUUUUCUGGUCUUCGGUAGCAAUUCAUGUUAUAGGAUGGUGAAAUUAAUCCUGUAAAUUUUUGUGACCUGAUGCUAUAAUAUUUCGAUUCAGUUAUGCUAUAUAAUUUAUCACUUUAAUGAUUGUGAUUUUUUCAGUUCACUGGUUUGACUUAAAAUGAGUGAAUUUUUUGAGUU